rfam:Brochothrix campestris FSL F6-1037 c4, whole genome shotgun sequence.
GGGGACGUUACGGAUUCGACAGGCAUAGUUCGAGCUUGGAUGGCAUGUCAGAGGGAUCGUCUCUGUCAAAACGUCACAGCCAAUAAUAACUGGCAAAACUAACAACAACUUUGCAGUAGCUGCGUAAGUAGUUAACUAGCAAGAUCCUCCUUCCAUCGCCCAUGUGGUAAGAUCAGGGUCUCAAAUUAAGUGGGAUACGCUCGAUUGUUUCCGUCUGGAGCAUGACAGAAGAGAUUAAUCAGACUAGCCUUUAGAAAGCCUGUUUACCGGCUGCCUAUUUGGCGAAAUUCUAAUAGGUAGACUAAGCGUGUAGAAAUUCAAGUGCCGAUAUGUCUGGACGCGGGUUCGACUCCCGCCGUCUCCAUUU